UUAAAAUAUUUAUGAGAUGAAUUGGAAUUAAAAGCGUAAGUUUUCAUUGUAUUUCUCGUUGUAAAGCAGCACUGAGCACUACUGACAUGGAAACUUGCUUCAGCCCAUUGUAAUAGUAAAUGAACAUAGAGUGAAUGUGUUAGUCAAACGUUACUUAGAACAAAAAAAAAGCACAAAAGUACGAUACGAAAAAGGAGGAAACUGGUAUUGUUUGUUGUCUUUAUCGUCCUUGUUUGGCGAUACAGUAAUUUAGUUGUGCAUUUCGCUACCAACCAGUAGGGAACGCUAAAGACAUUCACCAGAAACCCCAGAUCGUGUCAAAAGAUGCCUCCAGGCGUGGGGAUGUUGCUCAAGAAGUUUCCUGCCAUCUGAGCGCAGCAAGUGGCCUCCAGCCUCUACACAUGUUGGAGUGCAGGGGACAAACAAAGUGCAGACCUCGUGCCACUGCUUCACUCCAUCUCGUUCUCAUCGCGAGCUUUUCGUGUGUGCACGAGGACGCAACAUCUGAUGCACACCCCAAACAGGAAAUGAGAAACUGAAGCAACAACUAAGCAUAGGACAGAGCACAGUAUAUGUACGAAGAAACCUGUUUUUUUUUUCCUGAGUAGGAAUGAGGGAAGGAGGCAUAUAAGCCCUCCAAUCAAGAGUUGGAUUCACACUUGUUUAAAGUACACCCUAAAAAAUGCUGGGUUGUUUUCCCAAACCACGUGCUGGGUAGCUGUGGAUUUAGAGCAGAUUGAGUGAUUUUUACCCAAGGUUGGUUUUGCAGAUUGGGUUGAAUGUUGGAUUUGGGCAGGCUGAAGAGCUGAAGCUGGUUGCUGUUUUGUGUACUCAAGUAUAAGUAAACCCUGUGACCUAAAAGCUCAAAAGCCUCACUGAUGAUUGUUGUGACACAUUGAUGAGUUUCUUGCAUCCGUCACCAUGGAGCCGUGCUUUUUGCGAGGGGUUGUUGAAACAGCUCACUUGGACUCAGACAGGACGGUUGUAUGUUUGCUUGCCACCAUGCUGCAUAGUCGUACCAAAGUGCCAGACGGCGUUCAGUUAGCAGCAGAGCUCAUAAAACAA